GACGAACGCUGACGGCGUGCUUAACACAUGCAAGUCGAAGGGAGUGGCGAACGGGUGAGUAACACGUGAGUAACCUGCCCUUUUCUUUGGGACAAGCCUGGCAAACUGGGUCUAAUACUGGAUGGAUUGGGCUGUGCUCGCGGCUUUUCUGCUUGUUGGUGGGGUGAUGGCUUACCAAGGCUGUGACGGUUAGCCGGCCUGAGCGGGUGGUCGGUUACACUGGGACUGCGAUACGGCCCAGAGUCGUACGGGAGGCAGCAGUGGGGGAUAUUGAACCAUGGACGAAAGUCUGAUGCAGCGACGUCGUAUGGGGGAUGAAGGCCUUCGGGUUGUAAACUCCUUUCGCCUGCGGAAUGGUAGUGGGUAAAGAAGCGCCGGCUAACUACGUGCCAGCAGCCGCGGUAAUUC
rnacentral:rRNA from 1 species